GACGAACGCUGGCGGCGUGCUUAACACAUGCAAGUCGAACGGAAAGGCCCUGCUUUUGUGGGGUGCUCGAGUGGCGAACGGGUGAGUAACACGUGAGUAACCUGCCCUUGACUUUGGGAUAACUUCAGGAAACUGGGGCUAAUACCGGAUAGGAGCUCCUGCUGCAUGGUGUGGGUUGGAAAGUUUCGGCGGUUGGGGAUGGACUCGCGGCUUAUCAGCUUGUUGGUGGGGUAGUGGCUUACCAAGGCUUUGACGGGUAGCCGGCCUGAGAGGGUGACCGGCCACAAUGGGACUGAGAUACGGCCCAGACUCCUACGGGAGGCAGCAGUGGGGAAUAUUGCACAAUGGGCGGAAGCCUGAGGCAGCAACGCCGCGUGCGGGAUGACGGCCUUCGGGUUGUAAACCGCUUUCGCCUGUGACGAAGCGUGAGUGACGGUAAUGGGUCAAGAAGCACCGGCUAACUACGUG
rnacentral:rRNA from 1 species